ACACGGAGGGUGCGAGCGUUGUUCGGAAUCACUGGGCGUAAAGCGGGUGUAGGCGGUCUAGCAAGUCAGAUGUGAAAGUCCAGGGCUCAACCCUGGAAGUGCAUCUGAAACUGUUAGACUUGAGUACUGGAGAGGGAAGUGGAAUUCCUGGUGUAGGGGUGAAAUCCGUAGAUAUCAGGAGGAACACCGGUGGCGAAGGCGACUUCCUGGACAGAUACUGACGCUCAGACCCGAAAGCGUGGGGAGCAAACAGGAUUAGAUACCCCGGUAGUCC
rnacentral:rRNA from 1 species